UGGCUUGUCAAGCAGUGCCAUGUCUACACCUGGGAUCCGAACCGGCGAACCCUGGGCCGCCAAAGCGGAACGUGUGCACUUCAACUGCUGUGCCACUGGGCCGGCCCCAGGAAGUAUAUUUUUAAAGAGAGGGAAUUCUGGUAGGGGCACUUCUGUAGCCUCACCAAAGUGUCUGGCAGGAGAAAUUUCCAUCUCUAGAUUGAGGAAGAAGCUCAAAAGGACAAAGGCCAGUUAUGUUCAGAAGAGAUUAAUGACUACGCACUUGCUAUCGUGGAGAACAAAUUCCAUUCCUGAAUGCAAAGCAAGGAAGAUUAGCCCUGAGCUAACUACUGCCAAUCCUCCUCUUUUUGCUGAGGAAGACUGGCCCUGAGCUAACAUCCACGCCCAUCUUCCUCUACUUUAUAUGUGGGACGCCUACCACAGCAUGGCUUUUGCCAAGUGGUGCCACGUCCACACCCAGGAUCCCAAC
rnacentral:lncRNA from 1 species